CCCAUCUCUCCUAGAGGGUUGCUUUGGGAACAAGAGAGAAAGGAGUUAUCACACUGCUAUGUAACAGCGUUUUCCAAUUACUGAGCUAUUUCCAGGGAUCAUAUCACUCGCCUUUGGAUUACAUCACUCGCUUGAUGUCCGUAGACGUGGACCAGAGCUGAAAUUUACAAAGGAUGAAAAUACAGAAUGCAUGUGUGUAAAUGCACCUAAAAUAAAUGAAGAGCCUUCUUGCUGAAAUAAAGAGAUCAAACAUCUCA
rnacentral:lncRNA from 1 species